rnacentral:rRNA from 1 species
UUAUGAUUAAAGUCUUAACCUCAAUUGAAAGUAUGGCGGUUGCUGAUCCAACCAGAGGCACAUGCUGAUAAUCGAAACUGCACGAAUAUCUUACUCUCUCUAAUAGCUUGCUAGUAUCUUGUACAUCGCUGUUUUAGGACUAAAUGUUCAAGUUUAGUCUUUUCCUUAUAAAAUUAUAGUAUAAAAAGAUAUUUGAAGGAAAAUAACAAGUCAAGACGCAGAGAAUGAGGGAGACAAGGUGUGUGUCAGUAUUUAUAUUUGAUUAUUUACAUUUCACUCUUUUCUGAAACUAGAAUUGAGAGGGAAAGAAUUUGGUAGUAAGAACGAUUCAUUAAAUUGUUCUGAAUAGGUAAUUAGCAGUGUACACACC